CCCUAUGGGGCGCAGCUUGUUUCGUCCUUGUGCCGUGGCUUCGUCCCAUGCCGCAUGCGGCGUCAUGCCCAAGACGCGAUGCCGCUCCCGGGGGGUACGGUGUUCGCGUAGGUCGUUGAGGUGGCCGUUGACCUCUUCCACGUCGGAAGCAGGCGUCACGCUGUUGAGCGCGAAAUCGGGCGACAGGCGAUUCGGCCAGACCUGGUGGAUGCGCUCGACCCUGCCCGUGGCCUCGGGGGUAUUGGCGACGACGAAGGGCACGUCGUAGAACUU
rnacentral:rRNA from 1 species